CAUGCGUAGUGGGCUUCUCGGGCGGUGGGGUGGGCGCGGAAUUUGGAGACCCACUUCGGGAAAGUCAGGAUGGUGGUGCCUUCGCUGAAGCUUCAGGACCUCAUCGAAGAGAUUCGCGGGGCCAAGACUCAGGCCCAGGAGCGGGAGGUGAUCCAAAAGGAGUGUGCCCACAUCCGGGCCUCCUUCCGCGACGGGGACCCAGUGCACAGGCACCGGCAGCUGGCCAAACUGCUCUACGUCCACAUGUUGGGCUACCCCGCCCACUUUGGACAGUGACCUGAGCCAGGGGAUUCAGCCAGUACAAGGCCUGGCCUUGUGCACUUUGAGCACCAUGGGCUCUGCUGAGAUGUGCCGAGACCUGGCCCCAGAGGUGGAGAAACUGCUCCUGCAGCCCAGUCCCUACGUGCGCAAGAAGGCUAUUCUGACUGCAGUGCACAUGAUCCGGAAGGUCCCUGAACUCUCCAGUGUCUUCCUCCCACCCUGUGCCCAACUGCUUCAUGAGCGUCACCAUGGUAAGGCUGUGGGGCCCCCCAUCCUUUGCUUCAGGUCUAUGGACAGAAGAAUUGAAAAUCGGAUGGGAACCCCAGCUCAUAGGAGAAUGGUAGUGCACACACACAGGCACACACGCAAUAGACUCUCUUGCCCCUGGCCCCCACCAUUCACUUCCCCGACCCUGACCCCAGGCAUCCUGCUGGGCACCAUCACGCUGAUCACGGAGCUCUGCGAACGAAGCCCUGCAGCCCUCAGGCACUUCCGAAAGGUGGUACCCCAGCUGGUACACAUCCUCCGGACUCUGGUGACAAUGGGAUACUCCACAGAACACAGCAUAUCUGGAGUCAGCGACCCCUUCCUGCAGGUGGGGUGACCUUUCACUGCUGUAUCCCUGGAUCAGAGAGGGCAUAGCAGUAAGACCAUGACCAGUGGUUU
rnacentral:sRNA from 1 species